rnacentral:rRNA from 1 species
UGGGGAAUUUUGGACAAUGGGCGAAAGCCUGAUCCAGCAAUGCCGCGUGUGUGAAGAAGGCCUUCGGGUUGUAAAGCACUUUUGUCCGGAAAGAAAUCCUCUGGGUUAAUACCUCGGGGGGAUGACGGUACCGGAAGAAUAAGCACCGGCUAACUACGUGCCAGCAGCCGCGGUAAUACGUAGGGUGCAAGCGUUAAUCGGAAUUACUGGGCGUAAAGCGUGCGCAGGCGGUUUUGUAAGACGGAUGUGAAAUCCCCGGGCUUAACCUGGGAACUGCAUUCGUGACUGGCAAGGCUAGAGUAUGGCAGAGGGGGGUAGAAUUCCACGUGUGAGCAGUGAAAGUGCGUAGAGAUGUGGAGGAAUACCGAUGGCGAAGGC